rnacentral:lncRNA from 1 species
UGGGCCACUGACAUGUUUUGAAAUGAAACUGAAAUACUGAAUUAAAAGAGAUUCUACUUAAAGAGAAAUAGCAGCUUUGGAUGCAGAAUACAACUGUAGAUCAAGUCAGCAUAGACCUUAAAAGGGAGAACUUGUGUUGUUUAAGUUUGAAAGCAUCUAUUUCCUGACCAGCUGCCAUUGUUUCACACCAGCCUUGGGAAGACUUGCUAAUUGUCUGUGCAAAUUAAGAAGCCUUGGUCCAGAUGGAAUCAGAUCUCUAA